rnacentral:rRNA from 1 species
CGGCGUGCUUAACACAUGCAAGUCGAGCGGAAAGGCCCUUCGGGGUACUCGAGCGGCGAACGGGUGAGUAACACGUGAGUAACCUGCCCCUGACUCUGGGAUAAGCCCGGGAAACUGGGUCUAAUACCGGAUACGACACCUCCUGGCAUCGGGUGGGUGUGGAAAGUUUUUUCGGUUGGGGAUGGACUCGCGGCCUAUCAGCUUGUUGGUGGGGUAACGGCCUACCAAGGCGACGACGGGUAGCCGGCCUGAGAGGGCGACCGGCCACACUGGGACUGAGACACGGCCCAGACUCCUACGGGAGGCAGCAGUGGGGAAUAUUGCGCAAUGGGCGAAAGCCUGACGCAGCGACGCCGCGUGGGGGAUGACGGCCUUCGGGUUGUAAACCUCUUUCAGCAGGGACGAAGGUGACGUGUACCUGCAGAAGAAGCGCCGGCUAACUACGUGCCAGCAGCCGCGGUAAUACGUAGGGCGCAAGCGUUGUCCGGAAUUAUUGGGCGUAAAGAGCUCGUAGGUGGCUUGUCACGUCGGGUGUGAAAGCUUGGGGCUUAACUCCAGGUCUGCAUUCGAUACGGGCUGGCUAGAGGUAGGUAGGGGAGAACGGAAUUCCUGGUGUAGCGGUGAAAUGCGCAGAUAUCAGGAGGAACACCGGUGGCGAAGGCGGUUCUCUGGGCCUUACCUGACGCUGAGGAGCGAAAGCGUGGGGAGCGAACAGGAUUAGAUACCCUGGUAGUCCACGCUGUAAACGUUGGGCGCUAGGUGUGGGGACCUUCCACGGUUUCCGCGCCGUAGCUAACGCA